rfam:Clostridium sp. CAG:557 genomic scaffold, scf219
UUAAAGAUACUCCUGCCCAGCCGCAGCUCGAGCGUGAAAAAAACGUCGCACGCAAUGGGGGUAGCCUCGCGAUAACUUCGAGGACGUGAAAUUCGUGUGC